CAUGCCCCACCAUAUCUGGCUAAUUUUUUGUACUUUUGGUAGAGAUGGAGUUUCCCAUCUUGGCCAGGCUGGUCUCGAACUCCUCCCCUCAGGUGAUCUGCCCGCCUUGGCCUCCCAAAGUGCUGGGAUUACAGGCGUGAGUCACGGCACCUGGCCUCACUUUCAUCAUAUUUUUAUACCAAGUAUGUUGUGAUAAACAGGAUUUUCCUGAGAAAUAGGUGGGCUUGGCAUGUAGAGGUUGAUUUGCAAGCUGAGUCAGAUGGCGACCUCCUUUUUGCUCAGAUCUGCUUUUCCAGUACUUUCCUGGUCUACUAGAUGCCCUUGAACCUUGGCAUUUUUUCAACACCUUUUGGUGUCACCGCUGGGGUUAGAGCAUUGGUAUAGCAGCAGGAGUGACCCCUCACCAUGUCCUAGUCCUUGGGUCCUGUUUGUCCAAUUUGCUCACCAUGGCUGUCAGUUUUUAUGUCUCUGGUUCUAGCCUGUGACCUGCCCACGAAACUGUACAGUUCCCUUUGCUUUAUGAUUUGGUUUUGGUUUUUUCUGCAUUUUUUGCAUGUGAGAGUUUGGCAAAUAUAAAUGAGGUCUGUUCUUUUUUUUUUUUUUUUUUUUUUUUCUAAUUUUUUAAAUUUUUUUAUUUUUAGUAGUGACAGAGGUUUCACUACGUUGAGCAGGCUAGUCUUGAACUCUUGACCUCAAAGUGAUCCAUCCACCUCAGCCUCCAAAAGUGCUGGGAUUACAGGCAUGAGCCAUCAUCCCCAGCCUGCCUUUUUUUUUUUUUUUAAAGGUGCUUGGUCAUGUAAACCGAUCAUGCCAACUUAAAAAAAAUCUAUAUGCUUUCAGCCAAGCAUGGUGGCUCACGCCUGUAAUCCCAGCACUUUGGGAGGCUGAGGUGGGAAGAUCUUUUGAGCUCAGGAGUUCAAGACUCUCCUGAGCAAC
rnacentral:lncRNA from 1 species